rnacentral:rRNA from 1 species
CUGCUCAGGACGAACGCUGGCGGCGUGCCUAAUACAUGCAAGUCGAACGAACUCUGGUAUUGAUUGGUGCUUGCAUCAUGAUUUACAUUUGAGUGAGUGGCGAACUGGUGAGUAACACGUGGGAAACCUGCCCAGAAGCGGGGGAUAACACCUGGAAACAGAUGCUAAUACCGCAUAACAACUUGGACCGCAUGGUCCGAGUUUGAAAGAUGGCUUCGGCUAUCACUUUUGGAUGGUCCCGCGGCGUAUUAGCUAGAUGGUGGGGUAACGGCUCACCAUGGCAAUGAUACGUAGCCGACCUGAGAGGGUAAUCGGCCACAUUGGGACUGAGACACGGCCCAAACUCCUACGGGAGGCAGCAGUAGGGAAUCUUCCACAAUGGACGAAAGUCUGAUGGAGCAACGCCGCGUGAGUGAAGAAGGGUUUCGGCUCGUAAAACUCUGUUGUUAAAGAAGAACAUAUCUGAGAGUAACUGUUCAGGUAUUGACGGUAUUUAACCAGAAAGCCACGGCUAACUACGUGCCAGCAGCCGCGGUAAUACGUAGGUGGCAAGCGUUGUCCGGAUUUAUUGGGCGUAAAGCGAGCGCAGGCGGUUUUUUAAGUCUGAUGUGAAAGCCUUCGGCUCAACCGAAGAAGUGCAUCGGAAACUGGGAAACUUGAGUGCAGAAGAGGACAGUGGAACUCCAUGUGUAGCGGUGAAAUGCGUAGAUAUAUGGAAGAACACCAGUGGCGAAGGCGGCUGUCUGGUCUGUAACUGACGCUGAGGCUCGAAAGUAUGGGUAGCAAACAGGAUUAGAUACCCUGGUAGUCCAUACCGUAAACGAUGAAUGCUAAGUGUUGGAGGGUUUCCGCCCUUCAGUGCUGCAGCUAACGCAUUAAGCAUUCCGCCUGGGGAGUACGGCCGCAAGGCUGAAACUCAAAGGAAUUGACGGGGGCCCGCACAAGCGGUGGAGCAUGUGGUUUAAUUCGAAGCUACGCGAAGAACCUUACCAGGUCUUGACAUACUAUGCAAAUCUAAGAGAUUAGACGUUCCCUUCGGGGACAUGGAUACAGGUGGUGCAUGGUUGUCGUCAGCUCGUGUCGUGAGAUGUUGGGUUAAGUCCCGCAACGAGCGCAACCCUUAUUAUCAGUUGCCAGCAUUAAGUUGGGCACUCUGGUGAGACUGCCGGUGACAAACCGGAGGAAGGUGGGGAUGACGUCAAAUCAUCAUGCCCCUUAUGACCUGGGCUACACACGUGCUACAAUGGAUGGUACAACGAGUUGCGAACUCGCGAGAGUAAGCUAAUCUCUUAAAGCCAUUCUCAGUUCGGAUUGUAGGCUGCAACUCGCCUACAUGAAGUCGGAAUCGCUAGUAAUCGCGGAUCAGCAUGCCGCGGUGAAUACGUUCCCGGGCCUUGUACACACCGCCCGUCACACCAUGAGAGUUUGUAACACCCAAAGUCGGUGGGGUAACCUUUUAGGAACCAGCCGCCUAAGGUGGGACAGAUGAUUAGGGUGAAGUCGUAACAAGGUAGCCGUAGGAGAACCUGCG